UCUUUUUAUUUAAUUUAAAUUUGGAUAUAAGUUUGUAACACAUGGGAUUUAUGAUUGCAGCAAACAAUCUUUCUUUUCUUUCUAGACAUGAUUAAAGGCAUGUUUUUGGCUGUAGUUAUUGGACCACCUGUUGUGGUUGCCAUCAUUUUAAUAGUACAGUAAGGAGAGCAUUCUAAACAUUCUGGAAACUUUAAAAGAAGAGGGAAAUAGGGUCUUGUUCAAUGCUUUAGCUGUGUUUGCUCUAAGGUAGAUCAACUUAUCACAAGUAAGUUACUGUUUCACCCUUUUAUUUAAUAUUUUUGUGAUUGAAUGAAAGUCUUAAUGAAAGUAAUUGACAACCUUUCUCUGUAAAUGAUGUUGUGAUUGUGGGAGAGGUGUUGUGUUUUUCUCUGUUGCUAGGUAACCUUCUCAACAACAACAUUCUACUUAAGCAGGUGAGUAAUCAAGAUUAAGGGAGACUUGUAAUCAUGUUUGACAUUCCUUUCCAGUAAGAAAAAGAGUUGUAUGAUUAUUUGUUAGUUUUAUAGGAAUGUAUAACCCAUGUUAGCAAUGUUUUAUUUUUGUUUAACAUUUGAAUGAUUCUUUGUAUGACAUUACAAUUUGUGUAAUUUAUUUUAUUUUUUGA